rnacentral:rRNA from 1 species
GGGAAUCUACCCAGUUCUACGGAACAACAGUUGGAAACGACUGCUAAUACCGUAUACGCCCUACGGGGGAAAGAUUUAUCGGAAUUGGAUGAGCCCGCGUAAGAUUAGCUAGUUGGUGGGGUAAUGGCCUACCAAGGCGACGAUCUUUAGCUGGUCUGAGAGGAUGAUCAGCCACACUGGGACUGAGACACGGCCCAGACUCCUACGGGAGGCAGCAGUGGGGAAUAUUGGACAAUGGGCGCAAGCCUGAUCCAGCCAUGCCGCGUGAGUGAUGAAGGCCUUAGGGUUGUAAAGCUCUUUCACCGAUGAAGAUAAUGACGGUAGUCGGAGAAGAAGCCCCGGCUAACUUCGUGCCAGCAGCCGCGGCAAUACGAAGGGGGCUAGCGUUGUUCGGAUUUACUGGGCGUAAAGCGCACGUAGGCGGUUUGUUAAGUCAGGGGUGAAAUCCCAGAGCUCAACUCUGGAACUGCCUUUGAUACUGGCAAGCUAGAGUCCGGAAGAGGUAAGUGGAACUCCUAGU